rnacentral:lncRNA from 1 species
AUGGGCGAAGUUGUUGACAGUGAACUGCAAAAAUGAAUACAGUAUGAAGUUUAUGUUUCAGUUCAAUUGGAUAAGACGGGAUUACUGUUUAUUCAUGCUUCUGGUUAGCCAAUUAUUUACACAAUUUCAGUAUAAAUUCUAGAUAUUUGUCAUCGUCUUGUAAGUUAAGUAUUGAUAGAUAGAACUGUAUUUACCUAAGUUACCCGGACACGGGUAUGAGUAUUGGACACGGGUACAGGUCCAAGAGUCAGAUUCGUAGUUUUAGAAUAAUUAGGAUUCGUGGACGUGGAUCCGGAAUUAGACUCGGGUACGGGGACUUGGCACUUAAGCUCCACGCAAGUCAAACUUUAUUUAGCCUGAUUUAUGGUACAUUCAUAAAAAUAGUGUCUACUGCACAUAAAUCACAUACGCUGAAAUUGAAGCAUAAAAUCAAUAGAACAACAUAGAAACAAGUCAUUCACGGAUCUUGAUCUCUAUAAACAAGUUGAAACAAGACCUAAGUUUUCAUUUUGACCUGGGAUGUUACAAGGUGAGGUGUUCGGGUGUAAUAAGAAGGAUCCGACAGAGAUCCCAUACUCACACUCAUGUCAUGUCCGGUGGACGCGGGUAUAGGCACAAAAAUGGAGAGUCCAGGUAACAUAGGUAUUUACAAAUUAUGUUUGUCCCAAAUUGCAGGAAAAUUUAUCUGCUAUAUAUGGCACAACUUUUUGUUUUAUUAUCAGUAACUUUACUUCUUGGUGAAAGCCUAAAGUAUGAUAGAGCACAAGAUGCAUUGGCAAACCUUGAAUUCCUUACUUUUCAUUCCGCUCUUCCUGUAGUCAUUCGUAGUUGAGUUUUAAUUGGAUAAAUUGUUUGUUAUUGUAGUGGUGGUGCAGAAUUUUUGGUAUUGCAGUGGAACUUUUGGCACAAAAUAUGGUCGUCGAAAGCAAAACAGUUUCUCCUUGUUGGAAACAGAAUUCAAUUAAUUCACCACAUUUUAAGAAGCAACAGACACGAUUGGAUGAGUUAGGCAGCUUCUCAACAAUUGUUCACCGACACCGCUUCCUUCUAACAGCCUGUGCCCUUUUGGCUUUCCUCUGCACCAUAUAUCUCUACCUUGCUGUCACCUUUGUAGCCAACGACUCAUGCUCAGCCUUGUCAGGUACUCAAAAGUCGAUGUGUCAUAUACAACAAGCUAAAGAUCUUGUUUACAAAGGAAAACUGAGAAAUUUCUUGUAGCCGAUGUCUCUACUGCUCGAUAUUUGUUGUAAGCUGUUUUCCUUACCUGAGACCAACUUGAAAUAUAGAUCUUGGUCAUGUGUAGGUGAGAAGUAGCUUUGAAUUGUUACAGUAUACAUAUAACUGCCUCAGAGCGACAACAAUUCCAACUAAAGUGUAGAGUAUUUGUUUCAGAGCAUUAUUGAAAUGAUAAAACAUGUAGCUGACUGCAAUCUGGUUUACAGAAGUGGCUUGGACUUUGUCCAUUAGGGUUCACCAUCCAUUCAUCUGUGUUGUUGAUCUGUUUCACCUGAUUAAUCCUCACAAUCAUCUGAUCCCCUAAAAUAAGGGAAUCAUUUGGGUGUUUAGAGACAAAUCUCUUUUCACUGCCUUUUUGAUUUUGCUUUAAAAAAAUGUGUUGUUCUUUGAAAUUUCUUUCACCGGAAACACUACAGUUUGAUCUCGCUGAAUCGGACUUGUACAUUUCGAUUUUCUGUCUUAAAAGCGCCUUCGAUUAUGCCUUUAUUUCUCAUUCUCUACCUUUAUUCUUGAGCCUAGAAUGUACUGAUUGAUUUCAUCUAAUAUAGAUCUCACAAAUCAUUAGUAUUUUUUAAAAGCAACAAUGGUUAUCAAGCAUCGUAACCAGAUUUUUUUUGUAUACCUGAAAAUUCUGAACGAAGAAUUCGUACUUUAUUACUGUAGUAACAAUAACUAGCUUAUAACUCGUUCAAUGCACGGGCGGUUAAUAUAUUUGUUAUUUUAUCGUAUAUAUUUUAAAUUUACCUAAUUUUAUUGUAAAAAUAAAAUUAUGAUAGAAUAAUAUGGUUAAAUACAUAUUUUAUUUAACAGUGGGAUAAAUUUUUAAUAGUUAAAUCUUUUUUUUUUUUGAAAGGCCAAAAGAUUCCAUUGAUAAUAAAAGCUACAGACUUGCCAAAAGAUCAUCAUGACAUAAAACCCACACAUUACUAGAAAACCUAUUUCAACUCAUAACCUAAAAAGACCCUGAAAAGUACUACUACGACACCUAAUCAUUACUCCUACAGAUAACUAUUUGGAACCGAAACUACACGAGAUACAAAGCAUCCCCAUGCAGUUAAUCCAAUAUUUCAAUCACCUCCACCAUUUCAUCCUCCUCGACCAUGUGUGCUCCAUCUUCAACUUCUGGGAUUGCAGGCUCAUCACCAUCCACGACAGCUGGGUUAAGAUCUUCUUCAUGCACCGCCAGAUAACGGGGGUCAGCCGAGCCCAGCCCCAUAUCAGCAUUCCAGAGGUCAAAAACUCUACCAAAAGGUUGUGCUAUGAUCACCAUGUUCUUGAAAUUUUCCGCGCCAUAAUGUGCGAGGUAAGUAGCCAAGGCAUUGGCAUUAGGAUCACAUAGCUUCACCUCCAUUCUGAAGUUCCUAUCUGCAGCACGUUGAUUGAGCUGUUGCACCAUUUCUGCAUGAUCUGGAUGAGCUCCUUCAAUGGAGGAGUUCCUCCAUUCCCAAAAGGAAUCCAAGUGAUCCGAUUCCAGAACAAAGUGCUUCCAAUCCUCCACGUACGCUCUCUUGCAACCCUCCAUCAGUGCUUGGUACUCGUUAAUUCUGGCACUGCGGAUACCCAAAGAUCCCGAUAACAUCCUAAGAAUUUUCCCACGACUGUUCCUAAUGACCACCCCAAUUCCAGUUACAUUUCCAUUCGGAAGUGCAUUAACAAAGAAACAGCCGUGGACGUUAAUUUUAACCAUGUCCUUUCUUGGCAUUAACCACCUAGGAUUGACAUUGACAUUCUAGGUGCGAUCAUACCAGCACUAAUAGUUAAAUCUGUUAAAUGACUAAUUAAAAAUUAGGUCGAACACACACACACACAUAUAUAAAUAAAUGAGAAUGUUAAAAUUUACCUUUUAACAUGUUAUAGUUUAAGUAGGCUAUUAACUCAAAUAUAAACUAACCAAUCAACCUUUUAAUAUUUCGUUAUUAAUAAUUAAUAAUAUGAUGUAAAGCAUAUUACUCCCUCUGUCCCUUUUAAUUGUAUACAUUUCUUUUUAAUUGCUCGACACGCAUUUCAAUACUCUUAUAAAAUAUAGUUCCGUAACUUAUUUUUCAGAUUUUCUUUUUCUGUAUAAAAAUAUAACAUCCAAACUUUAAUUGAGAAAUAAAAAAUUAAAAAUAGACUGCACAACUACACUUUGCAGAAGCAUUAAAGUCCGUGCCGCGUCCCCGUCCCCCAAUGUAUACUACUCAGCGGGACGGAGGAAGUAUAAUUUAAAGAGACGCAUGAAACCAAAUACCGAACCAUCAUACUAAACUAAAUUUAAUAUUUUAGUUUAAUAGAUAAUUGAAAGUAAACUAUAACAUGUUAUAAAUUAAAGAGCUCCGUGGGUCGAAUACCAACCGAUUCACCAAACUCAAAUAACUGACCAACCGACUGAACAAUUUAUUUUCGGUUUUCAUAGUGUAAUAAUAUAUAGUAUAGGCUAGAUUUGUAAUAUUUCUUUUAAUGUGAGAUCAUUAGAGUAUUUAAGAAUAAUGUUUUUUUAUGUAUUUUGGUUAAAUAAUAGGGAUCUUUUUAAAAAUACCCAUCUAUAAAAUUAUUUUUUUAAAAAUACUACCAUCAUUUUCAUUGUUUUUAAAAAUACCUUUUCAUAAAAAAAAUUUCAAAAAUACGAUUUGCAACUUUUGCAACCUUGGGCGGCGCAGCCGCAAAAGUUGCAAAUGAGGUUACAAAUGAGUUUGCAAAAGUUGCAAAUGCAAUUGCAACUAGUUCAACUGAAAACUGUAAGUUGCAAAUGAGAUUGCAAAUGAAGUUGCAACUGUAGCAAAUGAGGUUGCAAAAGUUGCAAAUAAAAAUGAAAAGUUGCAACCGUUGCAACUGUUGCAACUGCAAUUGCAACUAGUUCAACUGAAAACUGUAAGUUGCAAAUGAGGUUGCAGAAGUUGCAAAUGAGGUUGCAAAUGAAGUUGCAACUGCAGUUGCAACUUUUGCAUCUGCAGUUGCAACUUCAUUUGCAACCUCAGUUGCAACUAAAUGCAACUGAAAACUGUAAGUAACAACAGAUGUAUGGUGUGCCCCUGGCGGGGCCAUUAGAUUGCAAUAGAAUCAACUGAAUGCAACCAUAUGCAACUGAAUACAACCAUAUGCAACCAUAUAUGCAAUUACAAAUCCUGAUUUCAAGUUUCAGUUUUCAAAUGUCAUUUUCGACCUCAUUUUCGGAAAUGAGGUCGAAAAUGACAUUUGAAAACUGGAACUUGAAAUCAGGAAUUCGGUUGCAUAUGAAGUUGCAAAAGAGGUUGCAACACGGCUGGCGCCGCCUGGAGUUGCAAAUGAGGUUGCAAAAGUUGCAAACCGUAUUUUUGAAAAAAAAAUUUAUGAAAAGGUAUUUUUAAAAAUAAUUCUGGAAGGUAGUAUUUUUGAAAACAAUAAAAGAAAAGGUAGGUAGUUUUGUAGAUUUCCCUAAAUAAUAUCACAUGUUAUAUAUUAAUAAUUAUAUAUAAUGAUAUUAUAUUUUAUGUAUAUGUCGCCCGUGUUAAUUGUAAAAACUGGGGGUUUUAGUUAAAAAAUCUAAAAAAGAUAAUGCGUUUGAUUAAAAAGACGAUUACUAUAUUGCUUGAUGUUAUUUUAGAAGAUGGAGUUUUUUAGCUAAAAAAUAUAUAAAAGAUAAUUUAUUUUAGUUAAAAAGAAUAAUUGGUCAUAUAGAUAGGCCCGUAUUUCGGCCCAAGUACCGACCGCCAGACCAAUAUAAUAAUACUCCCUCUCUUUUUUAUUAUUUGACGUUUUGAAUAUUGGUACACAUCUUUAGGUAUAAAUAUGUCGCCUGUGUCUGUAUUAAUUGUAAAAAAUUGAUUUUUUAGUUAGAAAAUUAUUAAAAAGAUAAUAUAUCUUAGUUAAAAAAGUAAGUAUCAUGUUUCUCAAUGUUAUUUUAGAAGAUUGAGUUUUUUAGUCAGAAAUAUAAUAAGGUAAUAUAUUUCAAUUAAAAAGAAUAAUUGAUUAUAUAGAUAGGCCUGUACUUUGGCCCAAAUUAAAAAGAAUAAUGGGAUAUAUAGAUAGAUCCAGAAUAAUUGAUUAUAUAGAUAGGCUCAUAUUUAGUCCCAAGUACCGACCGACCAAAUUUUUAAUGUUUCGGCUUUAAUAGUAUAGUAUGGAUAUGUCAAUUAUACUUAAUGUUCUUGGAUCAUCUCAGAAUUCUAAUUUUUUAAAUUCACAUUUUCUAAUUAUAAAUCAAAUUCGAGGCUUUGAAAUUGAAAUCGACACAAGAAGGUUGUGAUAGCGAGUUUUUAUUUUUAAAAUCAAGAAUAUACAAUUUGGUAUAAAACAAGACGUAAGGUGUGUAUAAAUAAAUUUAAGGUGCGCCUAUAUCAGCACAUUUAAAAGAAAACCUUAAUCUAAAAUAACAGAUUUUAUAAUUCAAAAAAUAUUAAUUUUUUUACUAAACACUGUCUCAUCCAUAUUUAUAUUUUUCAUUCAUUCAGAUAUUCUAGAUUCUAGAUUUAAAAAUCACCGCUAAGUAUCUUUCAUCCAAUGUUAUUCUCCCUCUUCAGAUCUGUUUAUCGUGUUAUGAUCUCACUUGUUUUCAUUUAGCCCACGCUUUCUCCCUGCUGUAAGUCUCUUGCAUCGUCCAUUAUCCUCCCUUUUCAGAUCUGUUUAUCAUGUUAUGAUCUCACUUGUUUUCAUUUAUUUUGUGGAUUUUAACUGAUAAUUAUAUCUUUAAUUGCUGUUUCAUGUACUGUACUUGUUAUCGCAGUUGUUUAUUUAAUGUUGCGCUGAGAAUUAUAAUAAUUAACGGUAUUAGCAGUACUGGCAGUAAUUUUUGGAAAGAUUAGGAUGUUAGUGAUGACGGAAGUAAGACCUAGAUAGCUGGGAAAUGAGUGAUGACUGCUUAUCGGUUAUUAAUUUCUGUCAGUAUUCGAUUUCAAUUUUUGACAAUUUUACAUGUAUUAUUAAGUUCAUGAGACUGCAUAGAAUGAUAGAAUUGAUAUAACUUCAAUUCUGUAAUUUAAGUUUUUCGUUGCCUUGGCCAAUGUACUGAGACUGUAACAAUAAACUAGUCGGUCCGCCACUCUUGAGCAUUCUUUGUUUCUUAAACGCGUUGUUGCUCGUGGAUCUCACCUAUGCCUGAUACUUUUCUUAUUUGCUUUCAUAAAAAUGGUUAUAGAUAUUUCCACAUUUGAUUUUACGGUUCUGUUUAUGUGCGUUGUUUGCCAGUUAACUGAAAAAAAUGAAUAUUAAGUUUUUGUUUGACUUCAGUUUGCUAAGACUGGAUUACUUCUUAUUCAUGCUUGUGGUUAGCCAAUAAUCUACACGAUUUCAAUAUAAAUUGUGAAUAUUUGUCAUCGUCUUGUAACUUAAGUAUCUUGAUUUAUAGAACCAUAUUUAUAAAUUGUGUUUGUCCCAAAUUGCGGGAAAAAUUAUCUGCUAUAUAUGGCAGAACUUUUUUUAUUAUCAGUAACUGUACUUCUUGGUGAAAGCCUAAAGUAUGAUAGAGCACAAGAUGAAUUGGAGAACCUUGAAUUCCUUACUUUUCAUUCCCCUCUUUCUGUAGUCAUUCGUGGUUGAGCCUAAUUAGAUGAAUGGUUUGUUCUUGUGUUGGUGGUACAGACUGCAGAGUUUUUGGUAUUGCCGUGGAACUUUUGGCACAAGAUAUGGUUGUCGAAAGCAAAACAAUUUCUCCUCGUUGGAGACAGAAUUCAAUUAAUUCACCACAAAAUAAGAAGCAACAGACACGAUUGGGUGAGCUAGGCAGCUUCUCAACAAUUGUUCAUCGACACCGCUUCCUUCUAACAGCCUGUGCCCUCUUGGCUUUCCUCUGCACCAUAUAUCUCUACCUUGCUGUCACCUUUGUAGCCAACGACUCAUGCUCAGCCUUGUCAGGUACUCAAAAGUCGAUGUGUCAUAUACAACAAGCUAAAGAUUUUGUUUCCAAAGGAAAACUAAGAAAUUUAUUGUAGCCAAUGUCUUUACUGCAUUGAUAAUUUGUUGUA